UGGAAGGGCCACCGACAUCCCUUUCCUAUAUCCGUAACAAUGCCACAAAAAAUAGUUCCUCGGUACGUAGCUGAUCCCUUUAAUUCCCACAUCCACCAAUGCGAGGAGCUCCUUUUUUUAUGAAUAAAAAAAGGAGAGCAUUUAUGCUUUGAAUUAAUUUGUUGGCUUGAAAGCUUUGAAUGGUAAUGGAAGGGAAGGAAAGAUCAUCACUUGUUUCAAAAUUAGAUCAGAUGGCCAACAUCUUGACAAAUUGAAUGGUGUUGAAGACGGGCCCAUGAUUUCACACCAGCUAAAUCCAGUUCAUCAUAAAGUCGUCUUUGGAUAGGGUUUGCAUGUAUUCAAGUUUCUGUCACCAUUGAAGGAUCUGGACCAUCUUGUAUCAAUAGUGGAGGCCAGCUUCACCAUGUCCAUGGAAAAGGGAUGAGUCCCUUUCAAGCCUUGCUUAUCCAUGGAGACAAUACAAGAUGCAGGAACCACUCAUUUGCUCUUCUUCUUCUUCUUCUUCUGCGGAAAGAAUAACACUACACAACAAAUUAAUGUAUCUUUCUUCAUAAAGGAUUUGAUCACAAUAUUAGUUUUGUCGAGCGUUUUCAUUGAUUAUGACCGACUGUCUUGCCGAUUCACCCAUGUCCCGUGAUAUUUACUCUCUCUCUCUCUCUUUUUGGUGGAAAUGGCACCACAAAUUUGUGGACAAGAUUGAUUAUAUGACUGGAAGCUUUUAUAAUCCAAAACCAAUAGAGGCAGUGCAGUGGAAGCUGAUAGCAUGUUGAGGGAGGGCAAUCCCAGCAGUCAAGCCAUGGAAGUUUAUUAGAAGGAAGUCUUUACUGGAGAUUUGCUAAGAUUAUAAAUGGAGAGAUUCCAAAUUAUGGGAGAUAUCCAAUUUUAGGCAGUGAGACUCUGCAUUAUCCUCCUAAUGUAAUCUUAACAGUGCAUGCAAUUACAGUUCUUAAUUUUAGCUACGGAAUCCUUAUUAUUGUCUGUUAUAUUUCGACUUUAGUGUUCUU